rnacentral:rRNA from 1 species
AUUGAACUCUUGCGGCAGGCCUAACACAUGCAAGUCAAACGAUUGGCAUACUGGUGAGUUCUGUCUGGGAAACUGCCUGCUGGAGGGGGAUAACUACUGGCAGCGGUAGCUAAUACCGCAUACCAUCGGAUGUGCCCAGAUGGUAUUAGCUAGUAGUUGGGGUAAGGGUUUACCUAGGCUACGAUCCCUAGGUGUUCUGAGAGGAUGACCAGACACACUGGAACUGAUACAAGGGCCAGAGUCCUACGGGAGGAAGCAGGGGGGAAUAUUGCACAAUGGGCGCAAGCAUGAUGCAGCCAUGCCGCGGGGAUGAAGAAGGCCUUCGGGUUGUAAAGUACGUUCAGCGGGGAGGCGUUACCAGCAGAAGAAGAACCGGCUAACUCCGUGCCAGCAGCCGCGGUAAUAC